UUGCUCUGUCAGUAAAUUAAAGGAUGUUAAACUUUAUGCUGAGAAAAACAGUGUAGGGUUACUAAGAAAUAGAAUAUAAAUAACUGAAUGGUAGUGAGUACUGAGUAAUGAACAUAUUUAAUCUUUUACAAGUAUUUAUACAUACAUAUAUACCAAGCUUUUAUAAAUACAGUGGGGAAAUUAUUAGAUGUAAAAUUCAAAUAUCCUUUUUUCUUACAAUUGUUUACUGAUUAAAGCAAAACAUUUCAGCUUGAGGGUAGAUAGGCCUGCCGCCUUGCCACAUCAAGUCUGGCACCUGAGCCAACUGUUCAUUUGAACACAAUGGGAAACACAUACCAACACCAACAUGUCAUACUACUGGAAGUGGAAACAAAGCAAUUCCCUAACUUAUAAAAUUUAGUAUCUAAAGGUCUACACACGGAAUACAAAUUUAUCAAAAAGCACAAUGUAUACAAAAUUGAUAAAAAGAUAUAUAUAUAUAUACAACAUAUUAUGGACUUGAACCACCCUGAACUAAAAAGUAUGGGAAAAAAUGUUAAACAAACUCCCAAACUUACAUAUUGAGGACCUAAACCACCUUGAACUAAACAUAUGGGAAAAAAUGUUAAACCAACUCCCAAAGUUACCUAUACAAAAGUUCUAUUUAAUUAGAGUAGAGUCAGUUAAAACAAUAACA